AGAGUUUGAUCAUGGCUCAGAACGAACGCUGGCGGCGUGCUUAACACAUGCAAGUCGAGUGCGUGUCUGUAGCAAUACAGAUGGCGCACGGCGCACGGGUGCGUAACACGUGGGCAAUCUGCCCUUCGAUGGGGAAUAACUCCGGGAAACCGAAGCUAAUUCCGCAUAACAUUCCUUGGACUUCGGUUCGAGGAUUCAAAGCCGUAAGGCGUCGAAGGAGGAGCCCGCGCCCGAUUAGCUAGUUGGUGAGGUAACGGCUCACCAAGGCAAUGAUCGGUAGCUGGUCUGAGAGGAUGGCCAGCCACACUGGAACUGAGACACGGUCCAGACUCCUACGGGAGGCAGCAGUGGGGAAUCUUGCGCAAUGGGCGAAAGCCUGACGCAGCGACGCCGCGUGGGGGAUGAAGCAUUUCGGUGUGUAAACCCCUUUCGACUGGGACGAAUGCCUCGCAAGAGGAGUGACGGUACCAGUAGAAGAAGCCCCGGCUAACUACGUGCCAGCAGCCGCGGUAAGACGUAGGGGGCCAGCGUUGUUCGGAAUUACUGGGUGUAAAGGGUUCGUAGGCGGUGUGGCAAGUCGGGAGUGAAAUCUAUGGGCUUAACUCAUAGGCUGCUUCCGAAACUGCUGUGCUUGAGUGUGGGAGAGGCGCGUGGAAUUGCAGGUGUAGCGGUGAAAUGCGUAGAUAUCUGCAGGAACACCCGUGGCGAAAGCGGCGCGCUGGACCACAACUGACGCUGAGGAACGAAAGCUAGGGGAGCAAACAGGAUUAGAUACCCUAGUAGUCC
rnacentral:rRNA from 1 species